CCAACCGGACGUACAAGCUUAGCCCGCAAAAAUACGGCAAGUCAAAGAAAUAUAAGAGCAAAUCAAACUGAUGAGCAACGCGAAGCGCGAAAUGAACUUGAACUGAAUCGAUAUCAAGAUAGAAAUGUUGUGUUUAAUCCCCACAAAGCUGCAUUCAGUUAUAAUGUGGCAAUUGAUUACAGUUCAGAGCAAAUUGUUGCUAUUGGACUAAUGAACAUUGUGUGUCCACAUUGGGAUUGAAAUUAAAAAAUGAAGCCUCUGGAUUGUGUUGCGCCAGCGGCCAAGUCAAAUUGACGCCAUUGGUACCACCACCAGAGCCACUACAUUAAUUGGUUCAUUUUUUGACUCAUAUCCAGCAGUACAAUAAUUGCUUUCAAAUGACAUCAUUUGGGGCAACAAAAGUUAUACGAGACAAUUUUUUGCCUACUUUUAGCAAAUUCAGGGAUUCAAAUAUAUCAUCAAACAGGUUCCUUAUUGCCAGUGCCUGUUGAAGACUAUACAUUUUUGCAAAUAUAUUUUAUGGACAAUUCAGCAAGAGAAGUCGAUCAGCGUUGCGCACACAACAACUCAGUAAAGAGAUCCAUUGUGAUGAACAACUUCAAACAUUUUUCCUUCAACACAAUGAAUUAGUUGCAUUAGACCGAUGCAUUAGACAUUCACAAAUGCAUUAGACCGCAUGCCAUCAGAUAAUCACAAAAUUGUCAUCAGAGCCGAUAAGGCGCCUGCAGGACAGUGAAAUGAUUGAAUCCUAUGAAAUAAACACUAUUAUGAAAAUA